rnacentral:rRNA from 1 species
GACGAACGCUGGCGGCGUGCUUAACACAUGCAAGUCGUACGGUAAGGCCCUUUCGGGGGUACACGAGUGGCGAACGGGUGAGUAACACGUGAGUAACCUGCCCACCACAUUGGGAUAACGCUAGGAAACUGGUGCUAAUACUGGAUAUGUGCUCCUGCUGCAUGGUGGGGGUUGGAAAGCUCCGGCGGUUGUGGAUGGACUCGCGGCCUAUCGGCUUGUUGGUGGGGUAGUGGCCUACCAAGGCGGCGACGGGUAGCCGGCCUGAGAGGGUGACCGGCCACAUUGGGACUGCGAUACGGCCCAGACUCCUACGGGAGGCAGCAGUGGGGAAUAUUGCACAAUGGGCGCAAGCCUGAUGCAGCAACGCCGCGUGCGGGAUUACGGCCUUCGGGUUGUAAACCGCUUUCAGCAGGGACGAAGCUUUUUGUGACGGUACCUGCAGAAGAAGCACCGGCUAACUACGUG